rnacentral:tRNA from 1 species
GACCGCGUAGCUCGGUUGGAAGAGCAUUGGGCUAGUAUUCCAAAGGUCGUAGGUUCGAAUCCCACUGUGGCCG